CUCACUCAAAUAUGAUAACAGAACUCCCUCUACCUCAGACAAGAGCAGAGACAGGCAAACAUGUUGGAGUGGGGGGGGGUGAUGAGGCAGAGGGCUAGCCCCUCCUUACUGCUGUAAAAGCAGGAGGAAAGAAGAAAGGAAAUCGCAGCCAUACGGGCUAUGCUCCCCCAGCUGAACUGUAUCUGCAUUUGAACGGUGGGAGAAAAGACGCUAUAUGGCGAUGUGCUCCUCCCUCUACCCUGCCAACCUCAUCUGUCAGCCAUUAGUUAAUCAGGGCUGGUAACACAGAGCACGGAGAGCUGGCACAGCUCGUGGGACCAGAGGAUAGCUUCACCUCUGAGAGCAAAAAGAGGGCAAGGACUCAGGGACCUCUGUUUCACCGAUCUACAGCUGGGCUGCUUCACUCACCAGCACCCACUCAGGAGGCAGCUUCAAGAUGACCACACCCACUGCUUUACUGUGAACAGGAUGAUGUCCUGCAAAAUAAUGACACAAACUAUAUUAUGAAACAAAUAACUACUAGGACUACAGCAUAGUAAUAUGUUUAUAAGAAAUUAUGCAUUAUUAAGUGUAAAGGAAAGGCUGCUAAAAGGCAAUUUAGACCACAAAUGAUUUUUUGUUUCCUAUAUUUAGUUGUUCUAAGUGAGACCAUAUCUUAAAAUAUGGGAGCCAAGGUUGAAUUCCAAUCACAUUGCAGCACGUUUGCAAUGCAAGAAGAUGGUAAUACCAAGCAUAUGGUAACUGUAGUUACAGUUAGACUCUUCAAAGGAGUUCAGUGUUGACCUGGAGCAAGAACAAACUUGCAAGUGUAGACUGUGAAGGGAGUGUAGAAUUAUACCCUGGGCUACAUGUUGUCAAGGCUGUGAGAUACAGAACCCUCAAGCAAAGGUAACUGCUCUAUUGAGUCAACCAUGCUCACGCAAAAUUUUAAAUUAUCUGCACACCAAAUCAGGCAAGGAGCAAUAAUAGUUGGGAACUGAAUGUACUUUAAAGUAGUGUCAUGUCUUUUGUUGCAGUCUUAUCAGUAUCACCAUGUUCUCUGCAAAUCAGAGAAAGCAGACAAGAGGGAGGAAGAUGAAAGGUCACAGAACAUUCAGGCUGCUUCUCUGUUCAUGGUCUUGUUUUGCAGGGAGCUUUCAAAGACAGAAGUCAAAACAACACAUGCUGUCAACAUGGGAACAGCUGGUAAGAUCGGCGUCAUGGGGCAGAGGAAUGUCAAGAGUCAUAGACCUUUUAUCCAUCAGGCCAAAAUAGCCACCCAGACUUGUUUUAAAACCACAUACAGGAGCAGUGGGAAAUCCUAACAUUUAUAUAUCCAACCUAUCGAAUGCUAAUCUUUACUAACUUUAUCCAUGAACCAUAGAAAUCAUGCAAAUAACAAAGUAUAUGCAAAUAUAAUCACACGCAAAAUAUAGAUGUCUUUGCUCACAGUGCAGUAUGGAUUUGACAUGUUGACUUUGCCAUAUUAUUCAUCCCAGGAUGGGACUGAUUGUAAGAUGUGGAAAUUUUACCUGUUCCUAUUUCUGUCAGUGCAAUUCCUGACAGACUUCUGGUUGGCUAAAACUAUAUGGCAUAUUCUGCACUCCAUGCCAAAAGUAUUAUUUUACCAUCUUUUAAGAGUUAAAUAAACAACCGGUUGAGUAGACAUAUACAGUUUCUUCAACACGGUUUCCUUUUUAAGUCAACACUACUCAGAAAAGAUACACCAAGCAACCAUAAGUCAAAACGAAAUGACAAAACAGAUGAGUUUUUCCGUCUGUCUAAACAUUCCAAUGAGCGCUUUUUCCAUUGCUAUGUUACACUGAAACAUCCAGCUCAAAGCAGUAUUCCUCUGCAGAUAGAGAAAGUGAGGAAUAACUAUAGAAAAGAUAGGAAAAAAAGCUUAUUCUUGAUUCACUUGAAGAAUACAAACAGCAGACCAGCCGUAAAGUUAUAAAGUAGUGACCUUUGACACAACACAUUCAAGUCUAACUCCCUCUUCCUGCUUAAUGUUACACAUCUGCUUUUCAAAUCUGUCAUAGCAACCAGCCUGCCACAGCUUGCAUACAGGGAAGUAUGGAAAAGCUCAAAGAAGUGGAAGAUCCUGACCUUGCAUUUAUUUAAAAAAGACAAAAAUAUCAAGCAAGCAUUACAAGAAAAUGAGAUAUAGCAUAGUUAAUUAUACAUUGUUUUUGUAAUGGAAAAAAUGGAAAUGGAGGAUGGAAAUGUCCCUAUUUAUUUUAUAUAUUAAUGAUAUGGCAGUAUUAUAGAGCUGAUAUGUGGUAUUUAAGUGCAAGUGCAGUGUUUCAGUUUUUCAAAUGUGAUGAUUUGCUGCUUUUCUUUGUCUUUCAUAAUAGUAAAUGUAUAACUAUUGUCACUAUUUUACAGUUUGUUAUAGACAAAACAAUUAAUUGAUUAAUCAGGAAGAUCAUUCAUUAUCAUUACAGCCGUAAAACAUGCAAAAUACUCAAAGGUGGAUUUCUCUUUUGAAUGUUGGUAUCUUUUAGUAGCCAGUGGAGAAGGGGUUGAAGAUAUAACUUCGAUGAAUAGUGCAUCAGGUACUGACUGACAUACAGGAAUUUCCUCACAUCUGUGGACCAGUGGCCCUGCCAACCUAUAAUGAUGAACCAUGAGAAACCGACCUGACAAGUCACUAACUUGCGUGGAAAGUAAAGCCCACAUACUCAAAUAGUAUUAUAGGAGUAGAGCUAAAUCUCUAACCCUUUUGCCGGAGUUGAAAUGAAGCACUAUAAGCUCACCAUUACUUAAAAUGGGCUCCAACUCCCAAUCUAUCAUUGUUUAUCCCAUAAGAGGGUAAAAAGCUCUCUGACAGAUAUGUCAAGACCCACAAACUCCAUUUCACUCCAUCAACUUGAUAGCAUCGACAGGCUCCAACAGCACCAGGCCCCAUCAAGUCUGACGUGGUAGCCUCAUGUGAGAGGAAUAUACAUUUAAGUGGAGUCUAAGAAGCAACUCCUAGAGACUUAAAACCAAUUUAUAAUACUUGACCGACAAGUUGAGGAAAAGCAGGCGCUCUCUACCUGUGUCAAAGUGAGGCCACAUUCCCUAUCUUUCAAUGAGCCUGGAGUAGACCAACUUAAAUGCUUCCAGACUUUCACACCCUGUCUCCUCUCAUUUCAUCUCACUGCAUCUGCUCCCAACGCAGAUCGCCCACAAAAUAAAAAUACACUUACUAGAUGGGCUCCUCUCUUAAUUUCACCCAAUGUCCUGCACAAACUCACUAUGGUUUUGAGUCAACUCUUAUUCCUUCAGAUGGGGCUUGAGUCCUACAGGGACAGCAUUAAUAUCGUCAUUUAACUGCUCUCUAAGCCACAAUAAAUUGUGAGGAGAUUUAUGCCAGUGCUGGCAAAGAAAAUCUAUAUUACAGUGUGCAAUAUGUUAAACUUCAUGUUAUCCAACUGGUUGACCUACAAGAGAUUUCCAUUCCUAGUGCCAAAGCCAUGCUCUAAUCCAAAUAUUUUGAAUCUUCAGAUAACAUCUCACAGCAUCUGGUUCUCUGCCUUCAAAGUCCUAAUGGUUUGCCAAAAUCUGUAGGCCAUAGUGCUUGACUUUUAACCAGCAAAUCAUCAACUUAAUUAUUUUGCUUUCUCUCAAAGGCCGAAAUGAAACAUUAUCUCCUGACUCAGAUUCAAAUUAAAGCAAUGACAAGAACCAUGCUCGUGAGGACCUGGGGAGACCUUCCAGCCACCGCUUCAAUUGCUCACACUCGACUGGCAAAUGAGCAGGAUCAGGAAACACAAGCCCAAUGAUGUCACGACCAACUGACCCCAGGGUGACAGGUUUGGAGAAUGCUCUUGCCCACUGCCCCAGGCCAAAGUCAAGUAUGUCAAUGUUGUGCAUGUGGAUUUCAUUUGAAGCAGCAUGAUUAGUUCACAGACGCCCAACUGCAAUCCCCCUCCAUGGGAAACCCACUCUUGACAGGAAACGGUAUGUUUUUGUUAGCAACAAACAGGCAUAAAUUACUAAAAUGGUGCCUUGGUCGCCAAUUUAUCACACACAGACAUAUUGUUGCUGUUUGCACACAUUUGACAUCGACAUUACUUUUGAGGUAAUUACCAUUAGUUAAUGAUAUUUACAUUCCUGACAGUUUAUGUUGAACUAUGUGACUGCAAUCCUGAAUUUGUGCAAUAAAUUUGAUAAUUUCUUUGUGUCUUUUCUUUUUUAUAUAUGACAAAUGUGUUUUUGAUUACCUGUAUUUGGAAAAUGAAUAUAGGUUAGACAAUUAUUUAUUUGUUUGAAGUGGUUCCUAAAGUGAUUACAGCAGGAUUAGAAAUGGUUCAGGGUUAAAAAAAAAAUAAAGUAAAUUGUUUUUGGACAUUAUUGUCCUGUAAUUGAAUGUCAACAUAAAAGAUGACUCUUCAUGAUCGAAUGUAUACCAAGAUCCACACUUGUGAAUAUUGUCAAGAUGGUAUACCAUCAUUAAUAAAGUCAUUUCUCUGGUAACAAGUCUGUGAUGAAAUAUUGAAGAAAUGGCUUAACUAAAAUGGCUUUCAAAUCUGUGGGAUAAUAAAUGUAUUAACUACAUUCCCAAGAAAGGUUUUAACAGUAAAUAAUAAUAUGUGAUAUUUUGGGAGAAUGUGUUCGAUAUAAUUUCAUAAGAAUAUAUUUGAUAAAUAAAUCAAAAAUAAAUAAUAAAAAAAAGAGCUACUGCUGCAAACGAUGCGAUUCAUAUUGUUGGUGACAAAUGUCUUUAAUUUGCAUAGGAAAAUAUUUUGGUACUAUAUGAUACCCUCUGAAGCCAUAAGAAAUAUUUUGACAUUUUUAUGUAAUACAAGAACCCCCAGACCAUUUUAUCCCCCCUGUAGCUAGCCAUUUAAAAGAGCAUCAGCCCUAAACAUUUGCCAUUUCACUGGGACAGUAUUUAAUAUUUGGAUGCAUGAAAUGAUAAAAAAAAGAAGGCUUCCUGGGAUAUAUGAUGCAAGUCAUGUGUGAAGGUAAUUUGAUAACUAAUGUUCAUCUUUAAUUUAUGUUUAAUCAUUUUGGUCAACACUUACUGCUUGCAGGCUACACUGCUGAUUUAUAUAGAGCUAUAUUAAAUGAAUUCUUCACUGGAGUUGGUUAAUUAGGUAAGUUUAGGUACUAGGUUUAUGUAGAAUCCAGUAAUGUGGUCUAUUUUGAGUUAAAGCCGAUGGUAAGGCAUUUACUUGAAUUACUAGAUUAUUUAGAAAUACUGCCUGAUAUUACUUCUUACACUACUAGGUGUUUUACAAAGCUAUUUUAACAUAUUUCCUUCAAAGGACCUCUCCUAAAGAAAGCAGGAAAAUAUCAAAUACAUAAUUCAAGCAGCAGUUUUCUGUAAAUACUGGCUUUACAGGGCUUGCUUUUGGAUCUCCUCAACUAAACAACCUUUGCCAGCAUGAAUUAAUACCAAUUAUUGUUGUAGUAAAAGUAAUACCUCGGCGGACUCCUGCCAAAUGCAUUACAGAGAGCUCCAUUAAUGCAAUGGUAAACAGAUGUGCCACCCAGCGCCAAAGUUUGAUUUGGACUGUGUAUGUGUUCUCCAGGGAGAAUAAAAAUAAAACGUUAAAUCGCAUAAAUGGAAAAGGCCUGCAGUGUUUUUGCGCUACAUUAUGCAGAGGUAUGUAAAAUAGUACAGAUACUAUGGAAACAUAUUUUAGCUAUGCUUCUAAAGACUUAAUUAUAUUAAAGAUUACUGCAAAAGGCUGCUAAACAGACUGAAGUCAAUUGAGGGUCAAUUACCAAAAUACCACAUAAUGACCUACAAGUUAAGUCUUUUCUAAGAACGUAAGAAAUUCACCUACACACUAUAUACUGCAUAAACAUAUUGUACAUGUAAUGCAUGUUAGUGUAGUAUGAAGCUUCUGUAUAUGAAAGAAUAACUGCUGUGUCUAAACAAAAGUUGUUCCCCUGUUUAACCAAUAAACUAUGUAUGCCAAGUUUUA